GUGUUUUUCCACAGGUGCUACCAAGCGACAGCCAACAUGUCUGUUGCGGCUCAGGAUCAGGGUGGCAGCCUGACAGUUGCCAGGGUAGGGCUUCACCUUUCUAUGGAGUUGCUCCCACCGGCCUGACUGGGAAAAAUCUCCCAGGGGUCAGGUCACUGGCCUGGUGCCCCAGGGCCAGGGCUGCUGUGUCUCCUCCCCACCCUAGGCUCCAUGCAUGGGUCCUGCUGCCUCGGGGGAGGGCAGCCCCUCUCUGUGUUUGCAUCAUUGCACAUGGGCCCCGAGGGCCUAGCACUCAAGGCAGGCAGGGGAUGGUGUCCGACCUUCCAGAGCUUUCCUGAGCCUACUCCUAGCUACGGAGCCCCAGGCGUGGAGUUCAUGGGGCUGCACCGGGAGAACAACGCGGUGACGCAGAUCCACCUCCUGCCCGGCCAGUGCCAGCUGGUCACCCUGCUGGAUGACAACAGCCUGCACCUUUGGAGCCUGAAGGUCAAGGGCGGGGCAUCGGAGCUGCAGGAGGAUGAGAGCUUCACACUGCGUGGACCCCCAGGGGCUGCCCCCAGUGCCACGCAGAUCACCGUGGUCCUGCCACAUUCCUCCUGCGAGCUGCUCUACCUGGGCACCGAGAGUGGCAACGUGUUUGUGGUGCAGCUGCCAGCUUUUCGUGCGCUGGAGGACCGGACCAUCAGCUCGGACGCGGUGCUGCAGCGGUUGCCAGAGGAGGCCCGCCACCGGCGUGUGUUCGAGAUGGUGGAGGCACUGCAGGAGCACCCUCGAGACCCCAACCAGAUCCUGAUCGGCUACAGCCGAGGCCUCGUUGUCAUCUGGGACCUACAGGGCAGCCGCGUGCUCUACCACUUCCUCAGCAGCCAGCAACUGGAGAACAUCUGGUGGCAGCGGGACGGCCGCCUGCUCGUCAGCUGUCACUCUGAUGGCAGCUACUGCCAGUGGCCCGUGUCCAGCGAAGCCCAGCAACCAGAGCCCCUCCGCAGCCUCGUGCCUUACGGUCCCUUUCCUUGCAAAGCGAUUACCAGAAUCCUCUGGCUGACCACUAGGCAGGGGUUGCCCUUCACCAUCUUCCAGGGUGGCAUGCCACGGGCCAGCUACGGGGACCGCCACUGCAUCUCAGUGAUCCACGAUGGCCAGCAGACGGCCUUCGACUUCACCUCCCGUGUCAUCGACUUCACUGUCCUCACAGAGGCAGACCCUGCAGCCGCCUUUGACGACCCCUAUGCCCUGGUGGUGCUGGCUGAGGAGGAGCUGGUGGUGAUUGACCUGCAGACAGCAGGCUGGCCACCGGUCCAGCUGCCCUACCUGGCUUCUCUGCACUGUUCCGCCAUCACCUGCUCUCACCACGUCUCCAACAUCCCACUGAAGCUGUGGGAGCGGAUCAUUGCCGCCGGCAGCCGGCAGAACGCACACUUCUCCACCAUGGUAGGUCCGGCCCUGGCCCCAGCCCCAGCCCCACCGCAAGCCAAACUCUCCCAUGGACUUCUUGGUCUCUUUUUCUAGGAGUGGCCAAUUGAUGGUGGCACCAGCCUGACCCCAGCCCCACCCCAGAGGGACCUGCUGCUCACAGGGCACGAGGAUGGCACGGUGCGGUUCUGGGAUGCCUCGGGUGUCUGCCUGCGGCUGCUCUACAAACUCAGCACUGUGCGCGUGUUCCUCACCGACACGGACCCCAACGAGAACCUCAGUGCCCAGGGCGAGGACGAGUGGCCCCCACUCCGCAAGGUGGGCUCCUUUGACCCCUACAGUGAUGACCCCCGGCUGGGCAUCCAGAAGAUCUUCCUCUGCAAGUACAGCGGCUACCUGGCUGUGGCAGGCACGGCAGGGCAGGUGCUGGUACUGGAACUGAAUGACGAGGCAGCGGAGCAGGCUGUGGAGCAGGUGGAGGCCGACCUGCUGCAGGACCAAGAGGGCUACCGCUGGAAGGGGCACGAGCGCCUGGCAGCCCGCUCAGGGCCCGUGCGCUUUGAGCCUGGCUUUCAGCCCUUCGUGUUGGUGCAGUGUCAGCCCCCAGCUGUGGUCACCUCCUUGGCCCUGCACUCUGAGUGGCGGCUCGUGGCCUUCGGCACCAGCCAUGGCUUUGGCCUCUUUGACCACCAGCAGCGGCGGCAGGUCUUUGUUAAGUGCACACUGCACCCCAGUGACCAGCUGGCCUUGGAGGGCCCACUCUCCCGCGUCAAGUCCCUCAAGAAGUCCUUGCGUCAGUCAUUCCGCCGGAUGCGUCGGAGCCGGGUGUCCAGCCGGAAGCGGCACCCGGCUGGCCCCCCAGGAGAGGCGCAGGAGGGGAGUGCCAAGGCUGAGCGGCCAGGCCUCCAGAACAUGGAGCUGGCGCCUGUGCAGCGCAAGAUCGAGGCUCGCUCGGCAGAGGACUCCUUCACAGGCUUCGUCCGGACCCUGUACUUUGCUGACACCUACCUGAGGGACAGCUCCCGGCACUGCCCCUCGCUAUGGGCUGGCACCAAUGGGGGCACCAUCUAUGCCUUCUCCCUGCGUGUGCCCCCCGCCGAGCGGAGAAUGGAUGAGCCUGUGCGGGCAGAGCAGGCCAAGGAGAUCCAGCUGAUGCACCGGGCGCCGGUGGUGGGCAUCCUGGUGCUCGACGGACACAGCGUACCCCUUCCCGAGCCCCUCGAAGUGGCCCAUGAUCUGUCGAAGAGCCCUGACAUGCAGGGAAGCCACCAGCUGCUCGUCGUAUCAGAGGAGCAGUUCAAGGUGUUCACGCUGCCCAAGGUGAGUGCCAAGCUGAAGUUGAAGCUGACGGCCCUGGAGGGCUCAAGAGUGCGUCGGGUCAGCGUGGCCCACUUCGGCAGUCGUCGAGCCGAGGACUACGGGGAGCACCACCUGGCAGUCCUUACCAACCUGGGCGACAUCCAGGUGGUCUCGCUGCCCCUGCUCAAGCCCCAGGUGCGCUACAGCUGCAUCCGCCGGGAGGACGUCAGUGGCAUCGCCUCCUGCGUCUUCACCAAAUAUGGCCAAGGCUUCUACCUGAUCUCACCCUCGGAGUUUGAGCGCUUCUCUCUCUCCACCAAGUGGCUGGUGGAGCCCCGGUGUCUGGUGGAUUCAGCAGAAACCAAGAACCACCGCCCUGGUAACGGUGCGGGCCCCAAGAAGGCCCCGAGCCGAGCCAGGAACUCAGGGACUCAGAGUGAUGGCGAGGAGAAGCAGCCCGGCCUGGUGAUGGAGCGCGCUCUGCUCAGUGAUGAGAGAGCGGCAGCUGGCGUUCACAUCGAGCGGCCGUGGGGUGCAGCCUCAGCAAUGGCGGAGCAGAGUGAGUGGCUGAGCGUCCAGGCUGCGCGAUGAGCACACACUACUACUGAUGGCCUUUCGGGGGUCCCUGCCCCAGCCGGAGAGGCCGAUGCACAGGGCCCCGCCAGGGGCUGGGGGCAUCCCGGCUUCCACAAUGCAGCUGCUCUGGGCCUCGGGAGAGGACAGACCCCAGUCCCCUGGGCUGCCCUUCCCGGGCCUCGUCUGUCUGGGUCCUUUGGUCAAUGUUGCACAGUUUUUAUUGCUCCCAUCCCUUUUUGUAGUGGGCUGGGUUUUAAGUUAUAAAUGUUAACUGCCUCUGGGUGAAAAAGUUUUUAAUAAACACCUAUUACCUCUUG
rnacentral:sRNA from 1 species